AUUCGUCUUCUCUCAAUUUCCGACCAUUUGUGCAGAACGGAGGAGAGUAGAGGUUUGGUUCUGUAUUUUUGAAGCGGUCUGAGUGUAAUUGGGAGGAGGAGUAAGGCAAAAGGAUCAGGGUUCCCGUACCGGAUUCUGAUUCCUGAGUUUCCAGAUGACGAAGAAACAUCGGAAUGGGGAAGUCUCGGAAUUGGAGCGGGAAAUGUCCG
rnacentral:misc_RNA from 1 species